rnacentral:rRNA from 1 species
GAAAGCGAAGAAACUUACAACAAAGAGUCCCUCCCGACUGUUUACCAAAAACACAGCACUCUGCUAACUCGUAAGAGGAUGUAUAGGGUGUGACGCCUGCCCGGUGCUCGAAGGUUAAUUGAUGGGGUUAGCAUUAGCGAAGCUCUUGAUCGAAGCCCGAGUAAACGGCGGCCGUAACUAUAACGGUCCUAAGGUAGCGAAAUUCCUUGUCGGUUAAAUACCGACCUGCAUGAAUGGCGUAACGAGAUGGGAGCUGUCUCAAAGAGGGAUCCAGUGAAAUUGUAGUGGAGGUGAAAAUUCCUCCUACCCGCGGCAAGACGGAAAGACCCCGUGGACCUUUACUACAGCUUGACACUGCUAUUUGGAUAAGAAUGUGCAGGAUAGGUGGGAGGCUUUGAGUAUAUGACGCCAGUUGUAUAUGAGCCAUUGUUGAGAUACCACUCUUUCUUAUUUGGGUAGCUAACCAGCUUGAGUUAUCCUCAAGUGGGACAAUGUCUGGUGGGUAGUUUGACUGGGGCGGUCGCCUCCCAAAUAAUAACGGAGGCUUACAAAGGUUGGCUCAGAACGGUUGGAAAUCGUUCGUAGAGUAUAAAGGUAUAAGCCAGCUUAACUGCAAGACAUACAAGUCAAGCAGAGACGAAAGUCGGUCUUAGUGAUCCGGUGGUUCUGUGUGGAAGGGCCAUCGCUCAAAGGAUAAAAGGUACCCCGGGGAUAACAGGCUGAUCUCCCCCAAGAGCUCACAUCGACGGGGAGGUUUGGCACCUCGAUGUCGGCUCAUCGCAUCCUGGGGCUGGAGCAGGUCCCAAGGGUAUGGCUGUUCGCCAUUUAAAGCGGUACGCGAGCUGGGUUCAGAACGUCGUGAGACAGUUCGGUCCCUAUCUGCCGUGGGCGUAAGAAGAUUGAAGAGAUUUGACCCUAGUACGAGAGGACCGGGUUGAACAAACCACUGGUGUAGCUGUUGUUCUGCCAAGAGCAUCGCAGCGUAGCUAAGUUUGGAAAGGAUAAACGCUGAAAGCAUCUAAGCGUGAAGCCAACUCUAAGAUGAAUCUUCUCUAAGCUCUCUAGAAGACUACUAGUUUGAUAGGCUGGGUGUGUAAUGGAUGAAAGUCCUUUAGCUGACCAGUACUAAUAGAGCGUUUGGCUUAUCUUU